CACUGUGAAACUAAUAAGCAUUAACCUUUUAAGUUGAAGAUUGAAAGUUUUAACCUUUCCACAGUGA
rnacentral:tRNA from 1 species